AGAGAGAGAGAGAGAGAGAGAAUGAAAACCAUCUUCCCAUUUCACCAUAUUAAACCUUGCUUUGUAAAUGUUCUUUAAGCAUUGCAUUUGUCCAUUUUGUUUUUCCCAGAAUGACAUUGGAGACAGAGAAUUCUGGUGAAUAAGUGCAGCACCUUCCUUAAAGCAAGGCUGGUUUUCUCUGUACCGGGAGGGAAUGGAAUCGACACAUAUUUUGGUGAUCUAGGUAACUAAGGUUGGAGGAUCUACAUUUCACUCUUCUAUGUGGGCACAUUUUCCCCUACAACUAUCAGUCUCUCGGGCGUAUGAUGAAAAAUGUCUUCUGCAAGUGUUUGACCUCUACAGACCAAAAGCAAGUUUCCAUCUCUUCACUUUGAUCCAGUCAGCUCGUAGGGCAGAAGAGUUGACAGAGACUCAUCUCACUCCCAUAGAGGAUCCUGCUGGGUUCUUCUCUGUCACUCAGCACAAGUCCGCACCCAGAGCAAAGCAAUGACUCAUCCUUCUGCACUGGUCACAGCUGUGGAACUGAAACUGGGUCUUAAAAUGCAUAGUUCUGAACCAUCUUGUAAACUGUUGUUUCUUCCCAUGCAGAGAAGGUUAAAACGCUAUGGAGGAAGUGGAUUUUAUUCUUUCAGAGGAUGUGUUUCUGCUGCCUACCAGAGACCCUAAGAAUGCAGUGAUAUUGGGACUGUUUAAUACUACUAGGUGCGAAGUUGAUAGUCAACAAAAGACUACGAAACAAAAAUUGUGUCACUGCAGCAGCUGUCAUGGUGCACAUGUCUCUGACACUGACCCCAUCAUCACUCCCAUCCUCUGUCCUUUCAAUAUGUUCAGAGGCCAUGCUAUAUGUGUCUGUCACAUGUCAAAUAUCUGAGAAGCCUUUAAUGGUCCAUAUGCACAUGAAGAAGGCCCUGAAUAUCACUGGUCACUCUGUGAAGGAGAAGUUCUAUGGAGGCAUUGUGCUGAAGGAAUCACAAUUUACAACCAAGAAAUGGAGUGGAUGGAGGAAGUCAUUCUAGAGGAACUUCAGAUACUCAAGCAACAGCUCUACAUUGGAUCACCCUCUGCAGUGGCUCAGGUCAGAUUCCAUCCUUGUGACGUGUAUGGCAGUGCUUGUGCCGACUGCUGCCUGGCUCGAGACCCUUACUGUGCCUGGGAUGGCAUAUCCUGCUCCAGGUACUACCCAACAGGUGCACAAGCAAAGAGGUAA